UUCGGGAGGAGAAACCCUCGUAUAAGUCGAAGGUGUGAUGCGGACCGAGAAAGAGUAGGGAAGCUGUUAAGCAAGCCGUCAAGAAAAGCUGCUAUUGUUUCAUUAUGGCCCGUACCGUAAACCGACACAGGUGGAUGGGGAGAGAAUCCUAAGGCCGGCGGAAGAAGUAUUGUUAAGGAACUCGGCAAAAUGACCCCGUAACUUCGGGAGAAGGGGUGCCUGCGAGAGCAGGCCGCAGAGAAGAGGCCCAAGCAACUGUUUAGCAAAAACACAGGUCUAUGCAAAACCGAAAGGUGAGGUAUAUGGGCUGACGCCUGCCCGGUGCUGGAAGGUUAAGGGGAGUGGUCAGGAAACGAAGCCACGAACUUAAGCCCCAGUAAACGGCGGCCGUAACUAUAACGGUCCUAAGGUAGCGAAAUUCCUUGUCGGGUAAGUUCCGACCCGCACGAAAGGCGUAAUGAUUUGGGCGCUGUCUCGACAAUACAUCCGGUGAAAUUGAAGUGCCAGUGAAGAUGCUGGCUACCUGCGCCAGGACGGAAAGACCCCAUGGAGCUUUACUCCAGCUUGAUACUGGGACCCGGUAUUGCAUGUACAGGAUAGGUGGGAGGCUAGGAAAUGUGGACGCCAGUCUGCAUGGAGCCGCUGUUGGGAUACCACCCUUGUGGUGCUGGGUUUCUAACCAGAGGCCGUGAACCGGUCUGAGGACAAUGUCAGGUGGGGAGUUUGACUGGGGCGGUCGCCUCCGAAAGGGUAUCGGAGGCGCCCAAAGGUUCCCUCAGAAUGGUUGGAACCAUUCGAAGAGUGCAAAGGCAGAAGGGAGCUUGACUGUGACACCGACGGGUGGAGCAGGUACGAAAGUAGGGCUUAGUGAUCCGGUGGAAUUUAAGUGGGAAUGCCAUCGCUCAACGGAUAAAAGCUACCCUGGGGAUAACAGGCUGAUCACUCCCAAGAGUUCACAUCGACGGAGUGGUUUGGCACCUCGAUGUCGGCUCAUCGCAUCCUGGGGCUGAAGUCGGUCCCAAGGGUUGGGCUGUUCGCCCAUUAAAGCGGUACGCGAGCUGGGUUCAGAACGUCGUGAGACAGUUCGGUCCCUAUCCGGCGUGGGCGUAGGAUAUCUGAGAGGAGCUGUCCUUAGUACGAGAGGACCGGGAUGGACUGACCUCUGGUGUACCGGUUGGCGAUCAACGCCACGGCCGGGUAGCCAUGUCGGGACGGGAUAAACGCUGAAGGCAUCUAAGCGUGAAGCCCCCCUCAAGAUGAGAUAUCCCAUCGUAAGAGUAAGACCCCUUGAAGACGACGAGGUUGAUAGGGCAGGGGUGGAAGUGCUGUAAGGCAUGGAGCUGACUGCUACUAAUCGGUCGAGGGCUUGACCAA
rnacentral:rRNA from 1 species